rnacentral:tRNA from 2 species
CGGGGCGUAGCGCAGUCUGGUAGCGCACUUGUCUGGGGGACAAGUGGUCACAAGUUCAAAUCUUGUCGUCCCGACCA